rnacentral:lncRNA from 12 species
CUAUAGCACCAGGAGGUCCAUAAGAAUUAAAAGGUAUAUUGGCACUUAAUCAAUGGGAGGUGCUUAAUAUGUUAAUAAUUAACUACUAUUAAAUUAUUAUUAUGAGGUCAUUAUAACAGAAUUUUGCAUUUGCAUGAAACCUUCCCAUCAACUACAAUUGCAAAGCUUUAGGAUAUUCCAGCCUUCAGGAUUAGCUAGAAAGGAUCUACCCUCACAGAACAGUUGACAAAACUGAGGCGCAGAGAAGUGACUCGGCUUAAGUAUGUGCAGCAGAGCCAGCCUGGAACCCAGGCCAUCUGAACCAAGGCUUGGGAACUGCAAAGCCAACUUUCCGGGAGUGAGUUUGAUCCAGGAAGUAAGGAAAUCAGGCGACAUUUCAAAACUCAAAAAUUGACUGCAGUUAAAGA